GCACUUGAGGGUACUUACCGCUGAUCCAGGAGACAUUUGGUCCAAUUCGUCCAUUAGCUUCAGGCACUUGAGGGUACUUACCGCUGAUCCAGGAGACAUUUGGUCCAAUUCGUCCAUUAGCUUCCAGAUAUUACUUACCAUUUUUCCACAAGGUACAACUUCGUUGGAGUUCAUUUUUGUUAUUUUUUUUAUAAAUA